rnacentral:rRNA from 1 species
CUCCCGGCCUCCCGCCUCCGGGCGGGUCGGCGCCCGCCGGAGGAUAACCAAACUCUGAUUUAACGACGUUUCUUCUGAGUGGUACAAGCAAAUAAUCAAAACUUUUAACAACGGAUCUCUUGGUUCUGGCAUCGAUGAAGAACGCAGCGAAAUGCGAUAAGUAAUGUGAAUUGCAGAAUUCAGUGAAUCAUCGAAUCUUUGAACGCACAUUGCGCCCGCCAGCAUUCUGGCGGGCAUGCCUGUUCGAGCGUCAUUUCAACCCUCAAGCUCUGCUUGGUGUUGGGGCCCUACAGCUGAUGUAGGCCCUCAAAGGUAGUGGCGGACCCUCCCGGAGCCUCCUUUGCGUAGUAACUUUACGUCUCGCACUGGGAUCCGGAGGGACUCUUGCCGUAAAACCCCCCAAUUUUCCAAAGGUUGACCUCGGAUCAGGUAGGAAUACCCGCUGAACUUAAGCAUAUCAAUAAGCGGAGGA